rnacentral:rRNA from 1 species
GAGUUUGAUCCUGGCUCAGAUUGAACGCUGGCGGCAUGGCUAAAACAUGCAAGUCGAACGAUAUGUAGCAAUACAUGUAGUGGCGAAAGGGCGAGGAAUAGAUUCCUACAUACCUCGAGGUCGGGGAUACCCCGGAGAAAUCCGGAUCAAUACCCGAUGUGGUCGAGAGAUCAAAGGUUUACCGCCUUGAGAGUGGGGAAUCUCCUAUCAGCUAGUUGGUGAGGUAAUGGCUCACCAAGGCGAAGACGGGUAGCGGGUGUGAGAGCACGGCCCGCCGCAUCGAGACUGAGACACUGCUCGGACUCCUACGGGAGGCUGCAGUAACGAAUCUUCCGCAAUGCGCGAAAGCGUGACGGGGCAAUGCCGCGUGCAGGAUGAAGCCCCUCGGGGUGUAAACUGCUGUCAGGGUGCAGGAAAGACAUGACCAUACCCAAAGGAAGCACCGGCUAACUCUGUGCCAGCAGCCGCGGUAAUACAGAGGGUGCGAGCGUUAAUCGGAAUCACUGGGCUUAAAGGGUGCGUAGGCGGAUGCAUAGGCGCUUUGUGAAAUCCCACGGCUCAACCGUGGAAUUGCUUGGCGAACCAUGCGUCUUGAGGUUGGUAGAGGUCACUGGAACGAUAGGUGGAGCGGUGAAAUGCGUAGAUAUCUAUCGGAACGCCAAAGGUGAAGACAGGUGACUGGGCCAAAUCUGACGCUGAGGCACGAAAGCGUGGGGAGCAAACGGGAUUAGAUACCCCGGUAGUCCACGCUGUAAACGAUGCAUACUUGGUCGGAGUGGUUUGACUCCAUUCCGGCCGUAGGAAAACUGAUGAGUAUGCCGCCUGGGGAGUACGGUCGCAAGAUUAAAACUCAAAGGAAUUGACGGGGGCUCACACAAGCGGUGGAGCAUGUGGCUUAAUUCGAAGCAACGCGAAGAACCUUACCUAGGCUUGACAUUCACGGAUAAACUCUAUGAAAGUAGAGGUACACCCGCAAGGGCGGAACGUGAACAGGUGCUGCAUGGCUGUCGUCAGCUCGUGCUGUGAAGUGUCGGGUUAAGUCCCGCAACGAGCGCAACCC